UGGGCAUGGUGGUGUGUGCCUGUGUUCCCAGCACUUGGGAGGCUGAGGCAGGAGGAUCAUUUGAUUCCAGGAGUUUGAGUUUAGCCUGGGCAACAUAGCAAGAAACUGUCUUAU
rnacentral:sRNA from 1 species